UUUGUCUCAUUCCCAGAUGGCAAAAAUCUUCUCUACGACGGCGAGCGACCAACUGUGGUGUCAAGGUGUCAAUAAUUCUUCGACCAGGUAACCAUUUCAAUAUUUACUUUGAGUUACAGAGUUUGCCUUUUCUUUUCUUAAUCCUAAACCCAUAGAUUUUACACCAACAUCUCUGUUCCUUUUCUUCUUCUUCUUGGCUCUCUAAUGGUGGCCAUUUCAACUCUACAUGUACCAACCUAAUUCCUGAAACCUUCUUCAGACUCCAAUCUUUCUAUUUCCAUCUCAAAAUCUUCCCCUUUUUCGCCUCCACUUUCAUGUUCAAUCUGCAAAUCAUUGAAUGGUUCAAAGAACUUCUAUUUUGUUGUUUAUGGAGGACUUUUUGUGCAUUAGAAAUGAGGCAGUAGGUCGUGGAAUUCUACGAUGGCAAUUUAAUAGGAGGGUUCCAUGAUACCCACUACUCUCUUAUUAUGCUUUGUCUGUUGAGGGCCACUGUUCAAAUUUAUUAAUCUUAUUAGUUGUGCUACAUUAGCUCUGAUGUUCCUUGUGGUGUGGUGUCCCUUUCUGGUGGUCUCGAGUUACCAAAGUUUAGAGGACGUUUUGCUUCGUCCCUUUUUCAGUUACUUCCCUCUAGGUUGAAUUAUAUCCUAUUUGCCUUCCUUGAUUGGGCUGGUUCCUCUAUUGCUUUUUGUUUGGCUGUUAUGGGAUUGAUCAUGUUUGCUCCUCUCGUUGUGGUCUAGGUUGCCGUUUGCUGGGUUUCUCUUUUCUCUCCGGUGAAUACUGUAUAGAUUUUUUGUAUAGUGGCCUCCUGCUCUCCUUGUCCUUCGGGGCUUGUGUUCACUUUGCCCCCUGCCUCUUAUGUUUCUCUCUUGGGCCUGUCCAUUCUUAAUUCGGAUGCUGAGAUCAAAGAUUUUGUUGAUAAUGCUAGUACUUUCUUUCCUAUAUAUACUGGAUUUGGCUUGGGUGAGUCAAUCAUAUCUAACUUAGCCCUAAAGUAUAAGAAGAAGGCAUGGUUUGCUAUGACAAAGGAUUUCUCUAAGGAUAUGAUGGUGUUGUAUGAUUUUGACAAAGCUCCAGCGCUGGUUGCUAUUCAGCCAACUUACAACGAACGCAAUAUCUUUUAUGGGCCCUUUGAAGUGGGGAGGCUUUGCUGAUACAUUUGGGGUCAAUAAGAAGUCAAAAUUGCCAAAAAUGAUUGUUUGGGAUGGCGACAAGGAGUACUUAACUGAAAUUUUGGGCAAGGUUUUACUCCUCAUGCAUUAGUGUAGUUGCUGGUGAGGUUGUGAAAAUGCAAGAGUACUUUUUUGGUAAAGCACAAUUGGGAGUGAAAGAUGGUAUGCAUGAUGAUUUUUGUUUUUAGAAUUUUUUGAAUGAUUGGAAAGUAUUAACUAUUGUUCAUAGUUAAUUUUCCAAUCAUCUAGGUAUUAUAACGUAAAAAUGAUUGGCAUAUAUUUG